AUUGAACGCUGGCGGCAGGCCUAACACAUGCAAGUCGAACGGUAACAGGAAGAAGCUUGCUUCUUUGCUGACGAGUGGCGGACGGGUGAGUAAUGUCUGUGAAACUCCCUGAUGGAGGGGGAUAACUACUGGAAACGGUAGCUAAUACCGCAUAACGUCGCAAGACCAAAAAGGGGGACCUUCGGGCCUCUUGCCAUCGGAUGUGCCCAGAUGGGAUUAGCUAGUAGGUGGGGUAACGGCUCACCUAGGCGACGAUCCCUAGCUGGUCUGAGAGGAUGACCAGCCACACUGGAACUGAGACACGGUCCAGACUCCUACGGGAGGCAGCAGUGGGGAAUCUUGCACAAUGGGCGAAAGCCUGAUGCAGCCAUGCCGCGUGUAUGAAGAAGGCCUUCGGGUUGUAAAGCACCGUUAGCGGGGAGGAAGGGAGUAAAGUUAAUACCUUCGCUCAUUGACGUUACCCGAAGAAGAAGCACCGGCUAACUACGUG
rnacentral:rRNA from 1 species